UCAGGUACUGAGUGACUCUGA
rnacentral:miRNA from 1 species